AACGCACAUUGCGCCCCUCGGUAUCCCGGGGGGCAUGCCUGUUCGAGCGUCAUUUCUACCAUUCAAGCUUUGCUUGGUUUUGGGUAUUGUAGCACUCUUAACUUGGAGUUUUACAUAUCUUAAAUGUAGACGGCAGCAAGUAUAUAAGUUCUGAGCGUAGCAGUAAUAAAUUUCGCUUUUAGAAACUAUAUUUGUUAACCGGAAAAGUAUAUUUACAGUUUGACCUCGGAUCAGGCAGGGAUACCCGCUGAACUUAA
rnacentral:misc_RNA from 3 species